GGCGGGUUGUGAACCCACAACCCAGGUAUGUGCCUUUGACCAGGAAUCAAACCCUUUGGUGCACCAGCAGACGCUCUAACCAUUGAGCAGCACCAGCCAGGGCUUUUCUGGUUCUUUAGAAGAGCGUGUGCCAGCAGUGACCCAUCCUGUCAUUACAGUCCCAUCAUCACCAGACGGUAAGUGACACCUUCGGGAUCCCACAAUCUUCCAUGUGUGCUUUCCAUUUCUCUUCCUGUUGGGCUGCUGUGAAUACAGGGCUCCAGGAGACAGACUGUAAAUACUGCUACGUUAAUCAUCCAGUCUUCCACCUUGGGGCGGCCUUGCAAAUAGCAACAUCGCCUCUAUCCCACGGCCCAGCUGAAGGAGCCUUUUAUAAUCUGCAAGGACGCGCCCUCAGGGUCGGGCUAGGGACACACCCUCAGGACAAGGUUGCGGCUUGCCCUUCUUGCCCAGGAAUGCUUUCCAAAAAUCCACACGAGGUGCCCAGUGUUUCCCGGGUCCGUGUAAAUGUCUCCCCUCUGAGGUGCACGGCCUUCCCUCCGUCAUGGCUUCUGUGAUAACCGGUAAGAGACACAGAUGAGAAGACGACAGAGAUCCUGGAGGUGAGCUUUAGCCAGGGAACAUUGGUAGAAACCCUGGAAAACAUGCGUGCGUCAGGUGUUGAGUACUUAACUACAACAUGAGUCUUUUACUGACAUGAAGAAAGGCACAUGGGUAGUUUUAUGUGAUAGAUCCAAAAGAGCCUCCGGCAGGCGUACAGAACCCCCUGGCCCACAGGCAGGCGUGUCUCCUUGAACUCUGCGCCUGGAGCAGCAGGGCUGGGGGACUGCACCCACGUGCCCGGCCCCUCAGGGACUGCCCUGUCAAUAUUUACCCAGGUCGUUGCUCUCGCUCCUUCUCACGCACGCACCGCUGCCUGUUCUGCACGCUGUGGAGCUGUACGCAGUUUCCACUUUCAUCGCCAUGAUACACGUGCGGUGUGAACGCAGGGCGUGGGGCACAGCUGGUGGCCUGCCCUGGGGGCAUUGGUGCAGCUGAGUGGGGGGCCUCUGCUUCGUGCACAUGCGCACAUAAGGUCCUUCUACUCUCCAUCCCCACAGGUACCCUUCAAAAUACUUAUGGCUGCCCUAGCUGGUGUGGCUCAGUGGAUAGAGCAUUGGACUGCGGACUGGAAGGUCCCGGGUUUGAUUCCAGUCAAGGGCACGUGCUCAAGUUAUGG